CAAUAGCGUAUAUUAAAGUUGUUGCAGUUAAAAAGCUCGUAGUUGGAACUUGGACCUGGACAGGCGGUCCGCCUCACGGCGAGUACUGUCUUGCUGGGUCUUUCCUCUUGGUGAUCUGUUGUUUCGGCAGCAGGGAACCAGGACCUUUACUUUGAAAAAAUUAGAGUGUUCAAAGCAGGCUCGACGCCGGAAUAUAUUAGCAUGGAAUAAUAAAAUAGGACGUGCGGUUCUAUUUUGUUGGUUUUUGGAAUCGCCGUAAUGAUUAAUAGGGACAGUCGGGGGCAUUAGUACUCACAUGCUAGAGGUGAAAUUCUUGGAUUUUGUGAAGACUAACUUCUGCGAAAGCAUUUGCCAAGGAUGUUUUCAUUAA
rnacentral:rRNA from 1 species